GACGAACGCUGGCGGCGUGCUUAACACAUGCAAGUCGAACGGAAAGGCCCUGCUUUUGUGGGGUGCUCGAGUGGCGAACGGGUGAGUAACACGUGAGUAACCUGCCCUUGACUUUGGGAUAACUUCAGGAAACUGGGGCUAAUACCGGAUAGGAGCUCCUGCUGCAUGGUGGGGGUUGGAAAGUUUCGGCGGUUGGGGAUGGACUCGCGGCUUAUCAGCUUGUUGGUGGGGUAGUGGCUUACCAAGGCUUUGACGGGUAGCCGGCCUGAGAGGGUGACCGGCCACAUUGGGACUGAGAUACGGCCCAGACUCCUACGGGAGGCAGAAGUGGGGAAUAUUGCACAAUGGGGGGAAGCCUGAUGCAGCAACGCCGCGUGCGGGAUGACGGCCUUCGGGUUGUAAACCCCUUUCGCCUGUAACGAAGCGUGAGUGACGGUAAUGGGUAAAGAAGCACCGGCUAACUACGU
rnacentral:rRNA from 1 species